UCAGCCUACGGGGGGCAGCAGUGGGGAAUAUUGCACAAUGGGGGAAACCCUGAUGCAGCGACGCCGCGUGAGUGAGGAAGUAUUUCGGUAUGUAAAGCUCUAUCGGCAGGGAAGAAAAUGACGGUACCUGACUAAGAAGCCCCGGCUAACUACGUGCCAGCAGCCGCGGUAAUACGUAGGGGGCAAGCGUUAUCCGGAUUUACUGGGUGUAAAGGGAGCGUAGGCGGCGAUGAAAGUCAGAAGUGAAAGCCCGGGGCUCAACUCCGGGACUGCUUUUGAAACUGUGUUGCUAGAUUGCAGGAGAG
rnacentral:rRNA from 1 species